rnacentral:rRNA from 1 species
GACGAACGCUGGCGGCGUGCUUAACACAUGCAAGUCGAACGGAAAGGCCCCCUUGUGGGGUACUCGAGUGGCGAACGGGUGAGUAACACGUGAGUAACCUACCCUUGACUUUGGGAUAACUUCAGGAAACUGGGGCUAAUACCGGAUAGGAGCUCCUGCUGCAUGGUGGGGGUUGGAAAGUUUCGGCGGUUGGGGAUGGACUCGCGGCUUAUCAGCUUGUUGGUGGGGUAGUGGCUUACCAAGGCUUUGACGGGUAGCCGGCCUGAGAGGGUGACCGGCCACAUUGGGACUGAGAUACGGCCCAGACUCCUACGGGAGGCAGCAGUGGGGAAUAUUGCACAAUGGGCGGAAGCCUGAUGCAGCAACGCCGCGUGCGGGAUGACGGCCUUCGGGUUGUAAACCGCUUUCGCCUGUGACGAAGCGUGAGUGACGGUAAUGGGUAAAGAAGCACCGGCUAACUACGUG